GAUGAACGCUGGCGGCGUGCCUAAUACAUGCAAGUCGAGCGAACAGACGAGGAGCUUGCUCCUCUGACGUUAGCGGCGGACGGGGGAGUAACACGUGGAUAACCUACCUAUAAGACUGGGAUAACUUCGGGAAACCGGAGCUAAUACAGGAUAAUAUAUUGAACCGCAUGGUUCAAUAGUGAAAGACGGUUUUGCUGUCACUUAUAGAUGGAUCCGCGCCGCAUUAGCUAGUUGGUAAGGUAACGGCUUACCAAGGCAACGAUGCGUAGCCGAACUGAGAGGGUGAUCGGCCACACUGGAACUGAGACACGGUCCAGACUCCUACGGGAGGCAGCAGUAGGGAAUCUUCCGCAAUGGGCGAAAGCCUGACGGAGCAACGCCGCGUGAGUGAUGAAGGUCUUCGGAUCGUAAAACUCUGUUAUUAGGGAAGAACAACUGUGUAAGUAACUAUGCACGUCUUGACGGUACCUAAUCAGAAAGCCACGGCUAACUACGUG
rnacentral:rRNA from 1 species